rnacentral:misc_RNA from 1 species
CUUGUAAUUAUAUUGACCCGAUCGUUGCGUUCGAGGCUAAAAAAUUGUCGUCAAAAUCCCCCAAAAUAACGAAACUUCAAUAUUUUUUCGACGUUUUCUGGUCCCGAAUUUGUCAGUUUUCCGUAACGUCCAAUUUUCUUCGUUGAAGAUCUCUGGAAAAUGAUAUUCAACAUCACAUUAAUGCGAAACGGAGGGAGAAAGAGUGGAGGAAAAAAUUUAUGUGACACUGAAAAGAACUUUUGAAAGAAUUUUGUGCGAGAAUAAAUAGUAAUACUAUGCCAUGAAAA